CUAAAACACACACUACACACACCAUUUUCCAUUUAAGCUUGGACGGAGCUUUUGACCUCCGAUUUGAGCACCGAGACGAGCGCCGAUCAUCUUUUCGAUCACGUAUCUAAGUAGGUCCUUUUGGGAAAUAACGACUUGAGGGAGAGAGUGACGUUACUCAUUGAUACAGAGACACAACGAGGUUGAGCUGAUGUGAUGAUGGUGCUGCAAUGAGCGGAGUCUCCAGGGUUGUUAAUAAAUAGUUAACCUGUCUAGAAUAUGUCUUCAUACAUAUGUCUAGCUACUUUCCGCUGCAAGAUGUUGUUGAUGUUAUAGUAUGUUAUGUCAUACUUUGAGUCUUAAGAGAAUGGUUUCAUACGAUGUAUAACUUGAUUAAUGAUAUUAAUUAAGUUUUAUGCUGUCUUUCA